rnacentral:lncRNA from 1 species
GAUAAUGAUGGAGAAUUACGGGAUGACGAAUGGCUUUUUUUUUCAUUGAUAUGAGAAUUUAAUGUUAAUAUGCAUCUAUACAUCUUGUUUAUAUCUAUUGAUUUGUGAUUUCUUUGUGACCUUACCAUGAAAUGUAAUGACUAACUUAAAACUUUAUUUUUUAAGUAAACUUGAUGUUUAAUAUUCAUAUAUGCUCUAAAAUUUUGAUUAUUUUUUGAAUUUCGCUAUUUGGACUUAGUGUCCGAUAUAGCACCCACUAUCCGCGAUCUACUACCAUACCGCUAAACGGUACUCCAUCC